rnacentral:rRNA from 1 species
GUAAGCGUUCGUAGGCGGUUUGUUAAGUUAGAUGUGAAAGCCCCGGGCUAAACCUGGGAACUGCAUUUAAAACUGGCAAACUCGAGUUUAGGAGAGGGAAGUGGAAUUUCAGGUGUAGCAGUGAAAUGCGUAGAGAUCUGAAGGAACACCAGUGGCGAAGGCGACUUCCUGGACUAAAACUGACGCUGAGGAACGAAAGCGUGGGUAGCAAACGGGAUUAGAUACCCCGGUAGUCCACGCCGUAAACGAUGUCAACUAACCGUUGGGCCUAUAUACAGGCUUAGUGGUGGAGCUAACGUAUUAAGUUGACCGCCUGGGGAGUACGGCCGCAAGGUUAAAACUCAAAUGAAUUGACGGGGGCCCGCACAAGCGGUGGAGCAUGUGGUUUAAUUCGAUGCAACGCGAAGAACCUUACCUACCCUUGACAUCCAGAGAAUCUGUUAGAGAUAGUAGAGUGCCUUCGGGAACUCUGAGACAGGUGCUGCAUGGCUGUCGUCAGCUCGUGUCGUGAGAUGUUGGGUUAAGUCCCGUAACGAGCGCAACCCUUAUCCUUAGUUGCUAACAUUAAGUUGAGAACUCUAGGGAGACUGCCAGUGAUAAACUGGAGGAAGGUGGGGACGACGUCAAGUCAUCAUGGCCCUUAUGGGUAGGGCUACACACGUGCUACAAUGGUCGGUACAGAGGGUCGCGAACUCGCGAGAGUAAGCAAAUCCCAGAAAGCCGAUCUUAGUCCGGAUUGCAGUCUGCAACUCGACUGCAUGAAGUUGGAAUCGCUAGUAAUCGCAGAUCAGAAUGCUGCGGUGAAUACGUU